GCCUGGCGUAGUGGUUUGAGUGCUGGACUACAACUCUGGAGACCAGGGUUCGAAUCCCCACUCGGCC